rnacentral:tRNA from 1 species
UCCCUGAUGGUCCAGUGGUUAAGACGCUGCACUUUCAAUGCAGGAGGCGUGGGUUUGAUCCGUAGUUGGGGAU